CUCUUGGUCAUUUAGAGGAAGUAAAAGUCGUAACAAGGUUUCCGUAGGUGAACCUGCGGAAGGAUCAUUACCUAGAGUUGUAGGCUUUGCCUGCUAUCUCUUACCCAUGUCUUUUGAGUACCUUACGUUUCCUCGGUGGGUUCGCCCACCGAUUGGACAAACUUAAACCCUUUGCAGUUGAAAUCAGCGUCUGAAAAAACUUAAUAGUUACAACUUUCAACAACGGAUCUCUUGGUUCUGGCAUCGAUGAAGAACGCAGCGAAAUGCGAUAAGUAGUGUGAAUUGCAGAAUUCAGUGAAUCAUCGAAUCUUUGAACGCACAUUGCGCCCCUUGGUAUUCCAUGGGGCAUGCCUGUUCGAGCGUCAUUUGUACCUUCAAGCUCUGCUUGGUGUUGGGUGUUUGUCUCCUGUAGACUCGCCUUAAAACAAUUGGCAGCCGGCGUAUUGAUUUCGGAGCGCAGUACAUCUCGCGCUUUGCACUCAUAACGACGACGUCCAAAAGUACAUUUUUACACUCUUGACCUCGGAUCAGGUAGGGAUACCCGCUGAACUUAAGCAUAUCAAUAAGCGGAGGA
rnacentral:rRNA from 1 species